CAGGGCGCACCUUUCAACUAAGGAACUCCGGGUGGCUGUGUAGAACCAUCCUCACCCUAGAAAGGGGGAAACUGAAAGAAAAAGCAGAACACGCCAUUAACAAGGCCAGAACCCCGACUGCCAUUCCUGGACGGGAGCCACCAACACCCGCAAAAUCGAUCGAUUCAGCCUGGGACGCUUGCUGUUUCCGAACCUCUGUUGCCACCUAUCCCAGUUUGGAGGGAAUUUUCCCAAGGAUGGUGAAGAAGGGAUUUCCACACGCCGCCUCACUCAGCCCCGCACCCCUGGCCACCAGCCAGGACUUAGGGUGUAGUUAAGGAUCUUUCAAUUAGAAGGGAGGCUUCUGAUUCCCAAAAGCACUCAAAAUAUUUAAGGAAGUGCUUUUUAUAAUCAGUCCUAGAGCCUUGCUGCACUGGAUACUCCUGUUAAUUAAUUUCUUCUCCUUUGACAUUUUAAGUGCUAAUUAUAGGAGAAGGUGAUUAACACUGAGAAAGGAGGAGGGGUGUGUGUGUGUGUGUGUGUGUGUGUGUGUGUGUUUUUAAUCAUGACACAAAUUUCCCCCAGUGGAAAGUGACAUGUUUCUGGAGAUCCAGGGAAUUUAAACCAAUGAAUACAUAAAAACAGUCACAUGAGUGAUGACUAACAGUAGCAGUAGACAGGCCACCACUCUUCCUUGCCAUAGUCAUCCAAAAUGAAAUGAGCAUCUUUUGAAAACCUAAGCCUCAUUCUACUCCUGUCCCUCUUUUGUCACUCCUAUCUUCCUGUUUUCCAGGCUUCAUGACCACACUGCUGUAGGAAGCCAUAAGUUGGAAAUCAACGGGCCUGGCUUGAAGUGUGGCCUUAGGCAACACCGUUCUCAUCUACAUCUGGAUUCUCCAACAAAGCUGGGAAAAAAACGAUCCAAGGGAAGCCAAUCAAAGAGCCUGGAUUGCCAGUCUUCCCUGCUGCGAUCUCCGCCUGCGAUUCUCCAGGGGAAAUGUCCUUUAUGACCUUACAGCUCACCUGGAACCCUCCACCUAGGGCCCGAGGCAGCACAUCCUCUCGUGCCCGGGCACUUCCAGGCAUUGCCCUGAGUACUGGGCACUUCACACACUGGGCUGGACCACUCACCGGAGUGAAUAAGGAGGCUUGAAGCUGUCCUGGUACAACAAUGGAAUGAAGCGCUAGUCUCAGCUCAGCCACUUGGAAUAUGACUCCAACUCUCACAUUUCUGUGGGGUGUAUUCAUUUCAGCUUUUUGUUUGGUGCUAUGGGGAGGGAAGGGCCCUCAGACUGGCAUCCUUUUUCUUCCAGGAUGAUGAUGAAUAUUAUGAAAGUCUGAGGCUGUUUUUAAAAUUCUGCUCUAAUACGUUGUUUUUCUGUGCAUAAGAAUUAUGUAUUCUUAGCUGCAAAACUGGAAUCCGUCUGCUCAUGGAUAAACUUCUGGCCAUGAGCAUGUACCUUUCAGGUAACUUCCCUAUCAGAGAAGCUUACAAUCAAGAAUCCUACUUCCCUAGUUCCCUACACAGGCCCAGGAGGCUUUUGGUGGUAUCCGCUGGACUUUUGAAAAUUAGGGAAUUUCUCCUACUCUGAACUCUACCAGGAAUCACAUAUCAAGAUCUCAGUACCAUCUUACCUAGACCCUCUUGACCUCUUCUUUCUCCAUAAUCUCUUUCUAGCUCAUGUCAUCCAGACUCGAGGGCCCCAUUCUCAGUUUGACACUGAGGACACCCACGCUAUUAUCUCUGGCUGUGACCUUUCCCACGAGCUCCAAAUUCACACCAUCUUUUGACGUCUCCACUUAACUUCCCCAUUUCGGUGUCUCAAACUUGACAAUUCAAAACAGAACUCCCUCCCACUUCCAAACUGGUUUCCUACCCAACUUUCCCAGGCCCCCAGUUUCUCAAGUCAGAAAUCUAUGAGUCAUCCUUGAUGUUUGCCAUUCCCUCAUCCCUCCCAUCCAACCCAUUCGUAGGCUCUUGGGAAUCUACCUCCAAAAUGUCUCUGGAAUCCAUCCUCUUCUCUCCACCUCCACUGCCAACCGCCUCUCACCUGCAAUAGCUCUGAGGCAGCCUCCCCACUUCUUCUGCCUCCCAUCCCCACCCCUACAUAUUCCUGUCCUAUCUCCACCCAGAAGCAAACAAGAUCUUCUUUAACUGUAAAUUGGUUCACAUCUCCCCUGCUUAGAACUUUCCAAGGCCUUGACAUUAUUCCAAGAUCAAGACCAAACUCUUGACUGUGGCCAGUGAGACCUUUCCUGAACUGGUCCUACCUACCUCUGCAAACCCAUCUAGUGACACCUUUCCCUUAGCUUGCCUCCAACAUAGUGUAUUAGUUUCCUAUGGCUGCUGCAGGAAAUGACACAAAUUAUCCCCUUAUAGUCGUGGAAGCCAGAAGUCCAAAAUGGGCUGGAGCCAAGGCAGGCAGGGCUAUGCUGCUUGCAGAGGUUCUAGGGGAGAAUCUAUUUCUUGGUCUUCUUUGGCUUCUAGAGCUGCAAUCCUUGGCUCAUGGCGCCUUCCUCCACCUUCAGAGCCAGCAGUGUAGCAUCUUACUUGGUGAUCACAUUUCUUUCUUCUCCAGUGUCAUAUUUCCCUUUGCUUUACAUUGUCCUUUAAAUUUCUCUUAUAAGGAAACUGCGAUUGCAUUUAAGACCCACCCAGGUAAUCCAAGAUGAUCUUCCCAUCUCAAGACCCUUAACUGAAUCCCACCUCCAAAGUCCCUUUUGCCAGGUAAGGCAACAUUCCCAGGUCCCGGGGAUUAGGAUCUACAUAUGUUCGGGAGUGACUAUUGAGCCUACCAUGCAUACCACGCUCCUUCCCUCACCAGGGUCUUUGUACCUCUUGUCCCCCAUUACUAGAAUGCUCCCUUCUUCCCUCUCACUCUUUGCUUGGCCAUAUCUUUCUCAUUCUUGGGGACACAGCUUACCUGGCACCUCCUCAGACAACCUGUCUCGGACCAGCCCCUUAACAGCCUGA
rnacentral:lncRNA from 1 species